rnacentral:rRNA from 1 species
UUCACCUAACAGCUAGCCUCACCUCUUAAAAAUCUAUUAUGAAAUAAGAUCAAAUUAUACAUUUAAACAAAACAUUCUAUUUCCCUAGUAUGGGCGACAGAAAAGGACCCCGAGAGCUAUAGACAAAGUACCGCAAGGGAAAGCUGAAAAAGAGAUGAAAUAGAUCUCUUAAGUUUUAUAUAGAAGAGAUUAACCCUCGUUCCUCUUGCAUCAUGAUUUAACUAGAAACACCAAGCAAAGUGACCUUUAGUUUGCUACCCCGAAACUGCGCGAGCUACUCCGAGACAGCCUUUUGGGCCUACCCGUCUCUGUGGCAAAAGAGUGGGGAGAGCUCCGAGUAGUGGUGAUAUACCUAUCGAGCCCAGUUAUAGCUGGUUGUCUGAGAAAUGAAUAGAAGUUCAGCCCUCAUAAAUUUUCCUAAUUCAAACUUCAAUUUACCUUGUAAUUUUCAGAAAAGACUUAAGGAAGUAUGAGGAGUUAGUCAAAAGAGGUUCAGCUCGUUUGACUUUGGAAACAGCCUCUUUAAGUGAUUUAAGAUCAUAAUGUUUAAGGAUACUAAUUUUAGUAGGCCUAGAAGCAGCCACCUACCCUCGAAAGCGUUAAAGCUCAAAUUAAAUCAAUCCUCACAUCCCGAACCUCCCUCUCUUUUAUCCUUAAAAAUAUCAGACUAAUUUAUUUUAUAAAAGAAAUUAUGUUAAAAUGAGUAAUAAGAAUUAUAUUCUCCUUGCACAUGUGUACCUCGGAACGGACCAGCCACCGAAUAUUAAUCAGCUCAAUAGAGGAACUUAAGGCAAUCAACUAGAAAACCCCUUAAACCUAACUGUUAACCCUACACAGGAGUGCACCAAGGAAAGACUUUAAAGGAGAAGAAGGAACUCGGCAAACCUAAGCCCCGCCUGUUUACCAAAAACAUCGCCUCUCGACUCUAUCAUGAGAGGUCCUGCCUGCCCAGUGACUAUAUGUUAAACGGCCGUGGUAUCUUAACCAUGCUAAGGUAGCGCAAUCACUUGUCUUUUAAAUGAAGACCUGUAUGAAUGGCCCCACGAGGGCUUGACUGUCUCCUUCCCCCAGUCAAUGAAAUUAAACUUCCCGUGCAGAUGCGGGAAUAUGUACAUAAGACGAGAAGACCCUUUGGAGCUUCAGACCCUAAAUAAGUUAUGUUUAAUAUUCUGCAUCCAGUAAAAACUUAAUAAUUUUAUUCAAGGGUCUUAGGUUGGGGCGACCACGGAGUAAAAUAAACCCUCCACGAAGAAGGGGCCUCUAUAAGCCCUAAAUCCCCGAUAAUCACAUCUAAGAAACAGAAUCUCUGACUUUAUUAGAUCCGGUUAAUUACCGACUAACGAACCAAGUUACCCUAGGGAUAACAGCGCAAUCCUCUCCCAGAGCCCAUAUCGACGAGGGGGUUUACGACCUCGAUGUUGGAUCAGGGCGUCCUAAUGGUGCAGCAGCUAUUAAGGGUUUGUUUGUUCAACAAUUAAAGCCCUACGUGAUCUGAGUUCAGACCGGAGAAAUCCAGGUCGGUUUCUAUCUAUGAAUUGUUUUUCCCUAGUACGAAAGGAAUGGGAAAAAAAGGUCUAUGUUAAAGACACACCUUUACCCCCACCUCUGAUAACCAAUAAAAAGGAUAAGGGAACAUGUUAAAUUUACCUAGAAGGUAGCAGAAGUUGGCAGAUUGUUGAAUAUUCUGUAGCUCCUAA